AAUAAGUGCAGUCAUGGGGAACUGUGUCCGACGUUUGGCCAUUUAUCUUAUUUGAAAAAUUUAUAAAAAAAUUAAAAAAAAUUAGUCACACGUAAAGUACUAUUCAUGUUUUAUCAUCUAAUAACAACAAAAAUACUAAUCAUAAAAUAAUUUCAAAUAAGACGAACGGUCAAAAGUUGAACAUGAACCGUGUAAAACUAUAUUUAUU
rnacentral:pre_miRNA from 1 species